rnacentral:rRNA from 1 species
GACGGGGGGGGCAAGUGUUCUUCGGAAUCACUGGGCGUAAAGCGCACGUAGGCGGACUCUUAAGUCGGUGGUGAAAUCCUGGAGCUCAACUCCAGAACUGCCUUCGAUACUGGGAGUCUCGAGUUCGGGAGAGGUGAGUGGAACUGCGAGUGUAGAGGUGAAAUUCGUAGAUAUUCGCAAGAACACCAGUGGCGAAGGCGGCUCACUGGCCCGAUACUGACGCUGAGGUGCGAAAGCGUGGGGAGCAAACAGG